AUUGAACGCUGGCGGCAGGCCUAACACAUGCAAGUCGAGCGGAGGAAGGGAGCUUGCUCCUGGAUUCAGCGGCGGACGGGUGAGUAAUGCCUAGGAAUCUGCCUGGUAGUGGGGGAUAACGUCCGGAAACGGGCGCUAAUACCGCAUACGUCCUGAGGGAGAAAGUGGGGGAUCUUCGGACCUCACGCUAUCAGAUGAGGCUAGGUCGGAUUAGCUAGUUGGUGGGGUAAAGGCCUACCAAGGCGACGAUCCGUAACUGGUCUGAGAGGAUGAUCAGUCACACUGGAACGGAGACACGGUCCAGACUCCUACGGGAGGCAGCAGUGGGGAAUAUUGGACAAUGGGCGAAAGACUGAUCCAGCCAUGCCGCGUGUGUGAAGAAGGUCUUCGGAUUGUAAAGCACUUUAAGUUGGGAGGAAGGGCAGUAAGUUAAUACCUUGCUGUUUUGACGUUACCAACAGAAUAAGCACCGGCUAACUUCGUG
rnacentral:rRNA from 1 species